CGAGGCGGGCGGAUCACAAGGUCAGGAGAUCGAGACCAUNCCAGGAUGGUCUCGAUCUCCUGACCUCGUGAUCCGCCCGUCUCG
rnacentral:pre_miRNA from 1 species